AAAAGAGUAGUUAAGAUGUGAGCAAGAAGCUUAGGAAAUGUACAGUCUACCACAGGGUGUUUUAGCACUCUUCCACAGGAAUAAAUAUAGAAAGAAAGAAAGAAAGAUGUUCAUAAGAAACCAAGCAUCACCUCCAGCCAGUGUCACUUUUUUCCCCCCAACGGAGCAAUAAUCUGAGGGACUUCAGAUCUCCAGGCUACAGCAAUUAGACAGGAUAAGAGCUUCCUAUUCACAGAGCUCCUCCUUCAGCUCCGGUGGUGUAAAGCUAGCUCCUGCUACAUGGAAAAGUUGCUCCAGCACAUGCAAAAAAUUAAAAUUCAAGAAGCUUGGGUUUAUUUGAAGUAACACCAACAUAGAUCUGGGAUGAUUCCAUUAACAGCACUGCAGUCAUGCUCUGUUUCUAACAGGAUAGCUAAAGGCACCUGCAAGGUAUCAAAGCCAAAGGCAUCACUAUUUUUGAAAAAUGAGACAGAGGAUGUCAAGCAAGGAGCCAGCAGUUGCGAACUGUUUAAUUCAUGCUGAUUUUCCCAGAACUGUAUCCAAGGAGGAUGUCACACUUUUCCAUUCUCAAGUUCAACCUUUCCUCUGAGUGCAUCAGCAAGUUUCAUCUCUUCUGAAACUGUACUCCCCCGUGAGUUAUUUAUAAUCUCCUGCUGCUGCUUGUUAAGUAAAAUUUCACUCACCUUCCUUCUCUCUGCCUCAGAUUGUUAUAUUCCACUGAUACGCUGCUGCUUCACAUAUAAACCUUUCAUCAGCCCGUUUUCUUCCAGCUCCAAGGCAUGCUAAUCUCAAAGGAGACCAUUCAGAGAAAUGGAAAGGAAGU